rnacentral:rRNA from 2 species
UGGUGACUAUAGCAAGGAGGUCACACCUGUUCCCAUGUCGAACACAGAAGUUAAGCUCCUUAGCGUCGAUGGUAGUCGAACUUACGUUCCG